rnacentral:tRNA from 1 species
UAUAUAAUAAUUAAACAUAAAUAUAAUACAUUGAUAGUGUAAUAAUUAUUUAUUAAAUAA